CUACUAACCUUGAUGAUGUUUUUGGAUCUUUCGAUCCUUCUCUGUUGUCUCCAUUGCAGGGGAUGUCAUUAAAAUCUUCAACACCGACCCAAUUGCAAUCUCCUACUGGACUUCAGAUUCGCCAAAAUAUGAAUCAAUCUCGUUCAAGCUACCCGGCUAAUCUCUCCUCCACUUCUGUGAGGAAACCUGCGUCAUAUGGGUUUGAUUCAUCUGCUGCAGU
rnacentral:misc_RNA from 1 species